GCAGGCUCCCCUCUGGACAGAGAGCCCAAUGCAGGGCUCAAUCCCAGGACCCUGGGAUCAUGACCUGAGCCGAAGGCAGAGGCUUUAACCCACUGAGCCACCCAGAUGCCCCAAAGUUUCUUAUUUCUUGAUUAAUGUAUUUAAAGUUAUUUCCCUCUAGAUACUGCUUUAGGUUUCUUCCACAAAUAUUAACACAAGAUGUUUUUGUUGUUUAAUUCUAAAUUGUUUAAUAUUAUUCUUGGGCAAUCCUCUCGGGGCCCCUCCCUCUUUGGGAGCUUUGUACUAGCACUUUACUAUGGCUCAAUAAACUGCUCUGUUGUGACCUAAAUAAAUAAAUAAAUAAAUAAAAUUAUUCUUAUUUUUUUUAAAAGAUUUUAUUUAUUUAUUUGUCAGAGAGAGAGCGAGCGAGAGCGAGCGUACGCAGACAGAGUGGAAGGCAGAAUCAGAGGGAGAAGCAGGCUCCCUGCGGAGCAAGGAGCCCGAUGUGGGACUCAAUCCCAGGACGCUGGGACCAUGACCUGAGCCGAAGGCAGCUGCUUAACCAACUGAGCCACCCAGGCAUCCCAAUUAUUCUUAUUUUGUUCAGAACUAAAGAAGAUGGCUCAGCAUUAUUCUUUCAGGAGCCAUUGUAUAUCUUCUUCUGGUUUUGUGUAUUCAACCAGGAACAAGUCUUGUUUUUGAAACUCUGAGGACACAAGCCAUUUACAUGUUACUGUCUUCUGCUAUACAGUUCUUUGCUUUGCUUCCUUUCCCUUUUUAGAUUAUUGGACUCAUUUCCAGACUCCCUAUUUUUCUUGUUUCCUUGUCCAAUUCUUCCUUCUGAUGUAUCUAAUUUAGGCUCAUUAUACUUGGAUAGUACCAGAUGUUCCAAAAUUUUUUUUUAAGAUUUUAUUUAUUUGACAGACAGAAACCACAAGUAGGCAGAGAGGCAGAGAGAGAGGGGGAAAGCAGGCUCCCUGCCGAGCAGAGAGCCUGAUGCAGGGCUCAAUCCCAGGACCCUGGGAUCAUGACCUGAGCCGAAGGCAGAGACUUAACCCACUGAGCCACCCAGGUGUCCACAGAUGUUCCAAAUUUGACUUUUUAUACUGUCAAAAUUCCCAGUUGCUUAAUCAUCUACAUUUGAGUUAGCCACUGCCCCAGAAGUGAUCAUAUAGGAUUUGAAAGACUUGCCAUUUAAACAAAUUUUCCUAGGCAUCAUUCUUUGUGUUAGCAAGGCUACUUAGUGACUUUGUUACUGUCAUAUGUAACUACUUAAAAUUGGCCAAAAGAUGUUAUUUGUUAUUUGUGAAAUGCUCAGGUAAUAUUUGACUUCCAAAAUGUAUAUACUUUUCCAUAGAGGUAUUAAUAUAAUAGUACUAAUUUGAAUUGCGUUAUUUUCUUCCUUUAGAUAAGGCAGGUUUAUAGUGAAUCUACCAUAUGAGCCCGUGGAUGGAGCCAACCAAUCUGUGGUGUCUGGGUUUGUGUUCCUGAAAGUCUCCAGUUCCAAGGAGAUCCAGUGUCUUUUCACUUUCUUAUGUGUGUGUGAGUGUGUGUGUUUAUGUGAGAGCGCACGCAUGUGUGGUUUUUUCUUUCGUGUCUAGUAUGAGGGUAGACUUCUUCAUAAUGGUCUCUGUGACCUCGGACCCUUACACUCCCCUCUGUAUUUUCUCUCAGGCAAUCUCUCUAUCUGAUUGAUAUGACCAAUCUCUCUAUCUGAGCUGAUAUUUUGCUCCAUUGCAGUACCCAUGAUAAUUUGUGAUCUUUUUUCAAGAAGUCAUCUCCUUUGGGGGCUCUGAAGCUCAGCCAUGCUGUUGGAGGAAACAUUUGCUGUUCAUAACCAUGGCCUUUGACUGAUAUAAGGCCAUGUGUAAGCCUCUCCACCACCUGACCAUCAUGAGUCCAUGAAUGUGCAUUUUUAUUUUACUAUUUUUAUUUAUUUUUAAAAAAUCAUAUGGUCCUUUUUAUUUUUUUAAAGAUUUUAUUUAUUUAGGGCGCCUGGGUGGCUUAGUGGGUUAAGCCGCUGCCUUCGGCUCAGGUUAUGAUCUCAGGGUCCUGGGAUCGAGUCUCGCAUUGGGCUCUCUGCUCAGCAGGGAGCCUGCUUCCCUCUCUCUCUCUCUGGCUCUCUGUCUACUUGUGAUUUCUCUCUGUCAAAUUAAUAAAUAAAAUCUUUUAAAAAAAAGAUUUUAUUUAUUUAUUUGACAGAGAGAGACAUAGUGAGAGAGGGAACACAAGCAGGGGGAGUGUGAGAGGAAGAAGCAGACUUCCUGCUGAGAGGGGAGCCUGAUGUGGGGCAAGAUCCCAGGACCCUGGGAUCAUGACCUGGGUGGAAGGCAAAUGCUUAUGACUGAACCACCCUGGCGCCCAUGGGCAUUUUUAUUUUAGUGGUUGCCUGGACCAUUGGUCUUAUUUGCUCAUUUGUCCAUUUGGAUUCUGUGAUAGACUUGUCCUUCUGUAGCCCUUAACAUAUUAGACAGCUUUUACUCUGACAUACCUUGGCUCGUCAAAUUUGCCUUCACAGAUACUUAUAACUGAAGUUCAUGGUCACUACUAAUAGUGGGUUCAUUUAACUUGGUUGCUUUCUUCUUGCUCACCCUUUUACACCUCCAUCCUGGCCACUCUGCAGAAACACUCCUCAGUGCUCCGAGACUCCUUUUACUCAGCCAGCUCACAUCACUGUGUGAUUUUAUUUUUUGCCCACUGACUUGUUUUUCCGUCCAUGUGAUCCUGUCCUUCAAUACAUCUGGAUAAACUUCUACCUGUAUUUGAUGUAGUUUUAAUUCCUUUUCUAAAUCUAGUCACCUACACAUAUGCACAUUCAGAAACAGAGAUGAAGAUGGCAAUGAGGAGAGGAUUCAGUUUAUGAGUUUUAGAAAGAAAGAUUGCUAAAUGGCUUUAUUGAAACUUCUGGAUGACUAUUAAUAAAUCUUCCUCAUGAAGAAGAGACCACCUUUCUCAGAUACUAGUUUUUUCUUUCAUUUGGAACAUAUUUCUCUCUUUCUUCAUUUUGCUUGACUCUCUGUGUUGGUCUCUAUGUCCUAGAUAAAAUGUGCACCUCUUCCGGUCUUGAAGGAGGAGACUCAGAGGAAAUGAACCUGAUUGUUCAAUCGUGCCCUACCUCUCAGUGGUCUCUCAAAACUUUAUGAUUAUUCAAGCAGCCUAUUUUGUUUUUAAUAUCAACCAGUAGUUGAGGAUAUACCAAGACCUGUCGGUGUUGCAAAGCCAGAUCCUCAGGGAUCAGCUUUUAAAGUAUGCAAAUAUAGACGGUCCAGUGGGACUGCAAGCCUAAACUCUGUGAACCACGAGUGUCAGGCCAUCUAGAGUUGUCCCCUGGGCAGCAGCUACAAAUAUCGGGACUCCAGAUCAGUGCAUAAGCUCCGGUCUGGGAUAUAACGGUAAGCUGUAGCAAGGCGGUGGGAGAGCACAAAGAUGGAGUGCACCAGCCUACAUUCUUUGAGAGCAUGAGAGCAGAGGGAUCUGAUGGGGUUUGAGAGUCAAACCUAAAGCCCAUCUCUUAGGCGUAAACUUUAGGGCAAGCAAAUAAGCUUUUUUUCCCCCAAACAGAAAAGACAGGUCUGUCAGUCUGUGCUGUGCCCUGGGCAUGGUACCCUGCCAAGAAUGAUUUCCCGGAUUGUUAAAGCCCCAGAGGACCCAGGAGUCCAGCAGCACUCCCUUCAACCCCCCGCAGCCACCAGAGCCUGAUCAAGGGGCAUCUCCUCCGCGCAGCCGCAAUGACCCGCGCAGCCGCAGUGACCCCCGCACCGCACGCAGGAUAAAGCUGCCGGCGGAGAGAGACCCGCAGGCAAGCUGAGGCUCAGGGGAGGGCGCCCAACACAGCUCCCACGGCCAGCAGGUCCCCUCCCUGGUGAGGCCCCCAGCAAGUGCCCGAAUGGGUGUCAAAUUACAUGCCUGCCCCUCGGGCUCAAGCUCUGAGACAAGUGAAAGCAAAGGAACAUCUCCCACGCGGAGUCUGGACGGCCCUCGCGGCUCAAGAAGCUGCUUCAGCGCCUACCACUGAGGCGGAGAGGAAAGGAAGGAGGAACAGUGGGAGAGGGAGAGAGAGAAUCUUAAGUGGGUACAACACCAAGUAUAUGAGUCUGACCUGGGGCUUGAUCUCACAAUCCUGAGAUCAAGGAGAUCUCUGAGAGGAAGUCAAGAGUCAGUGGCCUAACUGACUGAGAUACCGAGGUGCCCCUGGCUAUUUUUCUUAAAACUGCCUUAAACAUCCCUGUCAAAACCCCACCCAUUUUUUUCAAAGAAAUGGAACAAAUAAUCCUAACAUUUAUAUGGAACCAGAAAAGACUUCGAAUCACCAAAGGAAUAUUGAAAAAGAAAGCCAAAGUUGGUGGCAUCACAAUUCCGGACUUCAAGUUCUAUUACAAAGCUGUCAUCAUCAAGACAGCAUGGUACUGGCAUAAAAACAAUGGAACAGAAUAGAGAGCCCAGAAAUAGACCCUCAACUCUAUGGUCAACUAAUCUUCGACAAAGCAGGAAAGAAUGUCCAAUGGAAAAAAGCCUCUUCAAUAAAUGGUGUUGGGAAAAUUGGACAGCCACAUGCAGAAAAAUGAAACUGGACCAUUUCCUUACACCACACACGAAAAUAGACUCAAAAUGGAUGAAGGACCUCAGUGUGAGAAAGGAAUCCAUCAUAAUCCUUGAGGAGAACACAGGCAGCAACCUCUUCAACCUCAGCCGCAGCAACUUCUUCCUAGGAACAUUGCCAAAGGCAAGGGAAGCAAGGACAAAAAUGAACUAUUGGGAUUUCAUCAAGAUCAAAAGCUUUUGCACAGCAAAGGAAACAGUUAACAAAAUCAAAAGACAACUGACAGAAUGGGAGAAGAUACUUGCAAAUGACAUAUCAGAUAAAGGGCUGGUGUCCAAAAUCUAUAAAGAACUUAGCAAACUCAACACCCAAAGAACAAAUAAUCCAAUCAAGAAAUGGGCAGAGGACAUGAACAGACAUUUCUUUAAAGAAGACAUCCAGAUGGCUAAAAGACACAUGCAAAAAUGCUCCACAUCUCUCAGCAUCAGGGAAAUACAAAUUGAAACCACAAUGAGAUACCAUCUCACACCAGUCAGAAUGGCUAAAAUUAACAAGUCAGGAAAUGCCAGAUGCUGGAAGGAUGUGGAGAAAGGGGAACCCUCCUACACUGUUGGUGGGAAUGCAAGCUGGUGCAACCACUCUGUAAAACAGCAUGGGGUUUCCUCAAAAAGUUGAAAAUAGAGCUACCGUAUGACCCGGCAAUUGCACUACUGGGUAUUUACCCUAAAGAUACAAAUGUAGUGAUCCGAAGGGACACGUGCACCCAUAUGUUUACAGCAGUAAUGUCUACAAUAGCCAAACUAUGGAAAGAACCUAGAUAUCCAUCAACAGAUGAAUGUAUAAAGGAGAUGUAUGUAUGUAUACAAUGGAAUACUAUGCAGCCAUCAAAAGAAAUGAAAUUUUGCCAUUUGUGGUGAUGUGGAUGGAACUAGAGGGUAUUAUGCUUAGCGAAAUAAGUCAAUCAGAGAAAGAUAACUAUCAUAUGAUCUCCCUGAUAUGAGGAAGUGGAGAUGCAACAUGGGGGGUUUCGGGGGUAGGAAAAGAAUAAAUGAAACAAGAUGGGAUUGAGAGGGAGACAAACCAUAAGAGACUCUUAAUCUCACAGAACAAACUGAGGGUUGCCGGGAGGAGGGGGAUCGGGAGAGGGUAGUGGGGUUAUGGACACUGGGGUGGGUGUGUGCUGUGGUGAGUGCUGUGAAGUGUGUAAACCUGGCGAUUCACAGACCUGUACCCCUGGCGAUAAAAAUAUAUGUUUAUAAAAAAAAUUUUUUUUAAAUAAAAAAGAUGAAAAAAAAAAACUGCCUUAAACACCCACAUAGUACAAACUUGUACUUAUCUUUCUUUACCUCAUGAAUGAGGCUUGGCUUUGCCCUUGGCUUUAUCAUAAAAAUAAAAAAAAAAAAAAAGAAAGAAAA